UACGUAGGGUGCAAGCGUUGUCCGGAAUUAUUGGGCGUAAAGAGCUCGUAGGCGGUCUGUCGCGAUCGGUCGUGAAAACUUGGGGCUUAACCCUGAGCUUGCGGUCGAUACGGGCAUGACUGGAGUUCGGUAGGGGAGACUGGAAUUCCUGGUGUAGCGGUGAAAUGCGCAGAUAUCAGGAAGAACACCAAUGGCGAAGGCAGCUCUCUGGGACGGUACUGACGCUGAGACGCGAAAGCGUGGGGAGCGAACAGG
rnacentral:rRNA from 1 species